AUGGCUGUCGUCAGCUCGUGUCGUGAGAUGUUGGGUUAAGUCCCGCAACGAGCGCAACCCCCGUCGCAUGUUGCCAGCAUUUAGUUGGGGACUCAUGCGAGACUGCCGGUGACAAACCGGAGGAAGGUGGGGAUGACGUCAAGUCAUCAUGCCCCUUAUGUCCAGGGCUACACACGUGCUACAUUGGCGCGUACAGAGGGUUGCGAUACCGCGAGGUGGAGCGAAUCCCUUAAAGCGUGUCUCGGUUCGGAUUGCAGGCUGAAACUCGCCUGCAUGAAGGCGGAGUUGCUAGUAAUCGCGGAUCAGCACUGCCGCGGUGAAUACGUUCCCGGGCCUUGUACACACCGCCCGUCACACCAUGGGAGUGAGCAACACCCGAAGCCGGUGGCCUAACCCGCAAGGGAGGGAGCCGUCGAAGGUGGGGCUCGUGACUGGGGUGAAGUCGUAACAAGGUAGCCGUAGCGGAAGCUGCGGCUGGAUCACCUCCUUUCUAGGGAGCCCUCCGUUAGGGAGGGCGCCGAUCGCCGGUACGGCUGUCGUUUUCAACGCUUCGAAAUACGGAGCUCGCGAUAGCCGGCCGAUUGAUCGGUCACUUAGAACGUCGACCGGACCUGGCGGGGCGCAGAUCAAUGCCGGUGCUCUUCGAGCGCCGGCGGGUCAGGCGCCCGCAUGCUGUUGAGUUUUGAGAGACCAGCCCGGCAACCCGCUGGGCCGCGCCUCUUCGCGGACCUUGAAAACUGCACAGUAGCCAAUGAAACGGGUAUCACCGGGUGAGAGCUUCGUGCUCUCUCCCAAGAUCACCGUCAAGAUAGUAAGGGCACAUGGUGGAUGCCUUGGCACCAAGAGUCGAUGAAGGGCGUGAACGGCUGCGAUAAGCCGCGGUGAGGCGCUGAAUGGCCAGUGACCCGCGGAUGCCCGAAUGGGGAAACCCGG
rnacentral:sRNA from 1 species